rnacentral:misc_RNA from 1 species
UCCGAGUUGUCUCCGGCAGAUUCCGAGGAUGUCAAGGGUAGGUAAGGUUCUUCGCGUUGCAUCGAAUUAAACCACAUGCUCCACCGCUUGUGCGGGCCCCCGUCAAUUCAUUUGAGUUUUAACCUUGCGGCCGUACUCCCCAGGCGGUCGACUUAUCGCGUUAACUGCGCCACAAAGUCCUCUAGGGACCCAACGGCUAGUCGACAUCGUUUACGGCGUGGACUAC